UUUGAACGCUGGCGGCAGGCCUAACACAUGCAAGUCGAACGGAGUGGCGGACGGGUGAGUAAUACAUCGGAAUCUGCUCUGUCGUGGGGGAUAACUUAUGGAAACUGUCGCUAAUACCGCAUACGAUUUAAUGAGCCGAUGUGGGAUUAGCUAGUUGGUGGGGUAAAGGCCUACCAAGGCGACGAUCCGUAACUGGUCUGAGAGGAUGAUCAGUCACACUGGAACUGGGACACGGGCCAGACUCCUACGGGAGGCAGCAGUGGGGAAUAUUGGACAAUGGGCGAAAGCCUGAUUCAGCCAUGCCGCGUGUGUGAAGAAGGUCUUCGGAUUGUAAAGCACUUUAAGUGGGGAGGCGUUACCAGCAGAAUAAGCACCGGCUAACUCCGUGCCAGCAGCCGCGGUAAUUC
rnacentral:rRNA from 1 species